GACGAACGCUGGCGGCGUGCCUAAUACAUGCAAGUUGAGCGCUGAAGGUUGGUACUUGUACCAACUGGAUGAGCAGCGAACGGGUGAGUAACGCGUGGGGAAUCUGCCUUUGAGCGGGGGACAACAUCUGGAAACGAAUGCUAAUACCGCAUAAAAACUUUAAACACAAGUUUUAAGUUUGAAAGAUGCAAUUGCAUCACUCAAAGAUGAUCCCGCGUUGUAUUAGCUAGUUGGUGAGGUAAAGGCUCACCAAGGCGAUGAUACAUAGCCGACCUGAGAGGGUGAUCGGGCACAUUGGGACUGAGACACGGCCCAAACUCCUACGGGAGGCAGCAGUAGGGAAUCUUCGGCAAUGGACGAAAGUCUGAACGAGCAACGCCGCGUGAGUGAAGGAGGUUUUCGGAUCGUAAAACUCUGUUGGUAGAGAAGAACGUUGGUGAGAGUGGAAAGCUCAUCAAGUGACGGUAACUACCCAGAAAGGGACGGCUAACUACGUG
rnacentral:rRNA from 1 species